rnacentral:rRNA from 1 species
AACGAACGCUGGCGGCGUGCUUAACACAUGCAAGUCGAACGCUGAAGCUCAGCUUUUGUUGGGUGGAUGAGUGGCGAACGGGUGAGUAACACGUGAGUAACCUGCCUCCUUCUUUGGGAUGACGCCCGGAAACGGGUGCUAAUACUGGAUAUUCACUGGUCUUCGCAUGGGGGUUGGUGGAAAGGGUUUUUCUGGUGGGGGAUGGGCUCGCGGCCUAUCAGCUUGUUGGUGGGGUGAUGGCCUACCAAGGCUUUGACGGGUAGCCGGCCUGAGAGGGUGACCGGGCACAUUGGGACUGCGAUACGGCCCAGACUCCUACGGGAGGCAGCAGUGGGGAAUAUUGCACAAUGGGCGCAAGCCUGAUGCAGCGACGCCGCGUGAGGGAUGGAGGCCUUCGGGUUGUGAACCUCUUUCGCUCAUGGUCAAGCCGCAACAAUGGUUGUGGUGAGGGUAGUGGGUAAAGAAGCGCCGGCUAACUACGUG